CUUGCAUCCAUACUUAUGCCAUCCACACAACACCCAAGAAAUCUGUGACUCCACUAUCUCUUUCUCAUCUAUAGAUCAUCCGGCUAAACAGUGAAUAAUAGAGAUCGAAGUCGGAAGAUGAGAUAGACGAAAAAUCGACCAUCUGCUUUUCUUUUCGUACAGCUCUAUGCAGCAAAGAUGAACUCAUCAACGGUAGCCUUCUGUGCGUAUCGUAGUGCAAUUGUCAUUGUUAUGACAGCGGCGCCCGUCUCUACUUCUUGGUGCAUUGUUUUGUGCAAUGAUGCUGGUAGGACGAAGUGUGUGUGGUGGGUUGUGCGGUGAUAGGUUGCAGAUCUGUGUUUGGUAUGCAUUGUUGUUGUAUGCGAUGUGGUCAGACAAAACAAAGGUGUGAAUCUGUGGUGAUCUGCAAUAGUGCGCUCUGUGUGUGUGUGUGUGUGUGUGUGAUAAGUGGUGAUGCGAUGGUGUGCGAAGAUCUGUGUGUGAUAGGCUAUGGUAUGGUGAUGCCAGU
rnacentral:lncRNA from 1 species